AAUAAGCAUUAAACACAACUAGUCCUGAAGGGAUUCAAUCAAUUCUAAAAUUUAACCAUUCUACAGACUAUGGAUUCCCCAACUACUCUAUCCCAUCCCUAAGAAUUCUAAGUCACUACUAAGACAACAUGCUCAAAGACAUAAACGCAGGUAACUGAUAAUAUUGCAUAAGUAAAGAGAUAAAGAGUAGAGAAACAAGAUGACAGAUGAAAUCAAAUGCGGAAUCUGAAUAACUUGGAAAAAUCUCGAAUUACAGGUUACAGAAGCAAAAGCGGCGCAGAAGAGUAAAACAGAAAAUAAAACUGAAGCAAAAACUCAAUAUCGACUAGAUGUCCCAAGACAGAACCCUAAGACAUCUGUUUAUACAAAACGAAAUAAAAUAAUAGUAGACGGACCAAUAACCUAAUCGCCCGGCCCAUAGAAUGAUAAUGGGCCGAGAUGGGCUUCGUGAUCCGAUGGAGGUCCAGGUCGAUCGACACCAGCCAACGCAAACACUGCAGAACCCGAUAGUGUCGACCGACACCAACAUGGUGU
rnacentral:sRNA from 1 species